AGGAAUUUAGCUCAGUGGCAAAGUGCCUGCCUGGCAAGUAUGAGGUCCUGAGUUCAAUUCCCAGUAUGUCUU
rfam:Cavia porcellus supercont2_1 genomic scaffold, whole genome shotgun sequence.